rnacentral:lncRNA from 1 species
CUGGCAUUUAUAUAAAGCACCAAGAACCUCUUUGGAUUCUCCAUAUCAGCAGCAGCUUGGGCAGAACGAGACACUUUAAAGGCUUCAGGAACAGACUCCAUGAGAAAGUAAGUGGCUGAUGGUCCACGAAGAUGUUGCUGCCACACCCUGGCCUGGCAACCAGCAGUGACUGCUAAAGCCUCAGUCUCCUGAUGAAGCUUAG